rnacentral:rRNA from 1 species
UUCCUACGGGGGGCAGCAGUGAAGAAUAUUGGGCAAUGGGGGAAACCCUGACCCAGCAACGCCGCGUGAGGGAAGAAGGUUCUCGGAUUGUAAACCUCUGUCCCAUGGGAAGAAAAAAAUGACGGUACCAUGGGAGGAAGCCCCGGCUAACUACGUGCCAGCAGCCGCGGUAAUACGUAGGGGGCAAGCGUUGUCCGGAAUUAUUGGGCGUAAAGGGUGCGUAGGCGGCCCAUCAAGUUGGAUGUGAAAUCCCCGUGCUUAACAUGGGAAUUGCAUUCAAAACUGAAGGGCUUGAGUGUGGAAGAGGUAAGUGGAAUUCCCAGUGUAGCGGUGAAAUGCGUAGAUAUUGGGAGGAACACCAGUGGCGAAGGCGACUUACUGGGCCACAACUGACGCUGAGGCACGAAAGCGUGGGGAGCAAACAGGAUUAGAUACCCUUGUAGUCUA